CAGAGUCUUCCUUUUGCCUCAGGAGUCUGUCUGGUGGCUGGCUCGCAGCUAGCUUCUGCACAAUCCCCUCACUCUGACCCUGCAUCUUCAAUGCCGCCAUUCUGCCGAACCGCUGCUACUUCUGGGUGAAAACCUAGUUCUAGCUCCCUCCAGAGUUAGCUGGUUUGGCUAUUUGAAAGCUACUCCUUCAAUGAACCGUUCUUUGUCAUUUCAGAAAUGAACCCUGCUUUCCAGCAUUUGGGCUGGACAGGGUUCUCCAGGCUUGCUAACUGCAGCAGCUGUUUUCUGUCCCCAGUAAGAGCCAGGGUGACAUACCUACCUGCCCAGAGCCACCCUUGACAGGAGACUCAGGGAGAAGUGCCCCCAGGACCAAAGCACCUGCCCAGCCCACUGGAAGAAGGAAGCUUACAAUUCUGUAUGCUUGGAACCCACCAAAGCCUGAGGCCUCACUGGCACCCAGCCAUCCACAGGAGUUAGCAGCUGUUUGAGUCCAGAAGGAAGAACUUUUGGAGUCGGAGACAAAUAAUGUUCACCACUCCACUUCCUUGUUCCUUCACACCUGCUACUUUGGAUUCAGACGAGAAGUUCCAAGAAUCCCGGAGUCCACAGCAUGACUCUGGUUUGCAGAACCUCUGUCCAGACCAGCCAGAUCAGAAUACAAAGGAAGGUGACACAUCCUGGGUCUCAACCCACUUCGUUGGGAAGUCUUCCUGAUAAAUUUAGAGAUAACCUAAAGCCCUUGGGGACUUCCUCUUGAUUUGAAUCUGCUGAACACCUGCCCCCCACCACCGCACCCCAC